rnacentral:rRNA from 1 species
GAUGAACGCUAGCGGCAGGCCUAAUACAUGCAAGUCGAACGAGAUUGAAGAGCUUGCUCUUCAUGAAAGUGGCGCACGGGUGCGUAACGCGUAUGCAAUCUGCCUUACUCAGGGGGAUAGCCCGGAGAAAUCCGGAUUAACACCGCAUAACAUAAUGAUAUGGCAUCAUAUUAUUAUCAAAUAUUUAUAGGAUAAAGAUGGGCAUGCGUGACAUCAGCUAGUUGGUGAGGUAAGGGCUCACCAAGGCGACGAUGUCUAGGGGAUCUGAGAGGAUGACCCCCCACACUGGUACUGAGACACGGACCAGACUCCUACGGGAGGCAGCAGUAAGGAAUAUUGGUCAAUGGGGGCAACCCUGAACCAGCCAUGCCGCGUGCAGGAAGACGGCCCUACGGGUUGUAAACUGCUUUUAUACGGGAAUAAACCCCUUUACGUGUAAAGGGUUGGAUGUACUGUAAGAAUAAGGAUCGGCUAACUCCGUGCCAGCAGCCGCAGUAACAC